rnacentral:rRNA from 1 species
GAUGAACGCUGACAGAAUGCUUAACACAUGCAAGUCUACUUGAUCCUUUGGGUGAUGGUGGCGGACGGGUGAGUAACGCGUAAAGAACUUGCCUUGCAGUCUGGGACAACGUCUGGAAACGGACGCUAAUACCGCAUAACAUAUUGUUUUCGCAUGGAGAUGAUAUCAAAGGAGCAAUCCGCUUUAAGAUGGACUCGCGUCCAAUUAGCUAGUUGGUGAGGUAACGGCCCACCAAGGCGACGAUUGGUAGCCGGACUGAGAGGUUGAACGGCCACAUUGGGACUGAGACACGGCCCAG